UGGGGUGGUUUUGGGACAGGGCAUAUCCACCAAGUCAUUUACUUCUAUAAUAUUCCCAUCUUCAUCAUAAUCAUCUACCUCAAAAUGAGCCUAACAAGAAUUUAACGAAUCCUGAAAAAGAAUUGUGGAUGUAGCUUCAUCUAUUGUAUUAUUCAUUUGUGAUUUUUGGGAAGUCUCUAUUAAUUCCAUUAUUUCAUCAAUUUGUUCUCCCUUCUUGUUAAAAAGAAUGGGUGAUUCUAGGACACUUGAGAAUGGAACUAUAGGUAGGUAAGAUGAUGAUGGAAUUGGUUUGACCC
rnacentral:lncRNA from 1 species